rnacentral:rRNA from 1 species
GACGAACGCUGGCGGCGUGCCUAAUACAUGCAAGUAGAACGCUGAAGGAGGAGCUUGCUUCUCUGGAUGAGUUGCGAACGGGUGAGUAACGCGUAGGUAACCUGCCUGGUAGCGGGGGAUAACUAUUGGAAACGAUAGCUAAUACCGCAUAAGAGUAGAUGUUGCAUGACAUUUGCUUAAAAGGUGCAAUUGCAUCACUACCAGAUGGACCUGCGUUGUAUUAGCUAGUUGGUGGGGUAACGGCUCACCAAGGCGACGAUACAUAGCCGACCUGAGAGGGUGAGCGGCCACACUGGGACUGAGACACGGCCCAGACUCCUACGGGAGGCAGCAGUAGGGAAUCUUCGGCAAUGGACGGAAGUCUGACCGAGCAACGCCGCGUGAGUGAAGAAGGUUUUCGGAUCGUAAAGCUCUGUUGUAAGAGAAGAACGAGUGUGAGAGUGGAAAGUCCACACUGUGACGGUAUCUUACCAGAAAGGGACGGCUAACUACGUG